rnacentral:rRNA from 1 species
AACGAACGCUGGCGGCAGGCCUAACACAUGCAAGUCGAACGCUGUAGCAAUACAGAGUGGCAGACGGGUGAGUAACGCGUGGGAGCCUUCCCAAUGGUACGGAAUAGCUCAGGGAAACUUGAGGUAAUACCGUAUAAGCCCCUAGGGGGAAAGAUUUAUCGCCAUCGGAUGGGCCCGCGUCGGAUUAGCUAGUUGGUGGGGUAAUGGCCUACCAAGGCAACGAUCCGUAGCUGGUUUGAGAGAAUGACCAGCCACACUGGGACUGAGACACGGCCCAGACUCCUACGGGAGGCAGCAGUGGGGAAUCUUGGACAAUGGGCGCAAGCCUGAUCCAGCCAUGCCGCGUGAGUGACGAAGGCCUUAGGGUUGUAAAGCUCUUUUGCCGGGGACGAUAAUGACGGUACCCGGAGAAUAAGUCCCGGCUAACUUCGUGCCAGCCGCCGCCGUAAUAC